rnacentral:rRNA from 1 species
GAUGAACGCUGGCGGCGUGCCUAAUACAUGCAAGUCGAGCGAACGGACGAGAAGCUUGCUCCUCUGAUGUUAGCGGCGGACGGGUGAGUAACACGUGGAUAACCUACCUAUAAGACUGGGAUAACUUCGGGAAACCGGAGCUAAUACCGGAUAAUAUUUUGAACCGCAUGGUUCAAAAGUGAAAGACGGUUUUGCUGUCACUUAUAGAUGGAUCCGCGCUGCAUUAGCUAGUUGGUAAGGUAACGGCUUACCAAGGCAACGAUGCAUAGCCGACCUGAGAGGGUGAUCGGCCACACUGGAACUGAGACACGGUCCAGACUCCUACGGGAGGCAGCAGUAGGGAAUCUUCCGCAAUGGGCGAAAGCCUGACGGAGCAACGCCGCGUGAGUGAUGAAGGUCUUCGGAUCGUAAAACUCUGUUAUUAGGGAAGAACAAAUGUGUAAGUAACUAUGCACAUCUUGACGGUACCUAAUCAGAAAGCCACGGCUAACUACGUG